CUGAGUAGACUGCCAUUGGACAUUCAUUGUUUCGUGAUUUAAGAGGCACAGCCAGCCGCUGGUCCGAUGUGUUGGACUUCUACACUCCUUUCUACCCCCACCCUCUCGCACUAGACCCAUGUCUUUGGUUUGGUCGCAAUUCCUUCAGUCGUCCUAGGCAGUUACCUGUUGAUAGGCUCAUCCCAAAGCAGAAAGACACUUGACUGCUGAGAGCUGGAUUGCUCCUGUGGAAAGAAGCUCCUGGCCUUUUCUCUAUUUGGACACAACUGUGGAGGAAGGUGGGACAUGUCCCAA